rnacentral:lncRNA from 1 species
ACCUAGGAGACAGGCCUUCCGUCAUGCCUGCCAGGGAUCGGUUAGCAUCCUAACAUGCUUGUGGGGUUAUCUUGAUUAGAUUGAGGUGCGAAGACCCACCCUAAUAUGAGUGACUCCAUUCUCUGAGCUAGAGUCUUUGGUGGCAUAAUAACAAGGAAGAGAGCUAAGGAGCAGAACACAUCCCUCUGUCCCCUGACUGAAUGUGAAGUGACCAGCUGCCACCAAGACUUGCACAACAUAAUGGGCCGUGCCCCGAUACUGUGAGACAAAACCAACACUCCCCUAAAUUGCUUUUGUCUGAUAUUUCAUUGCAAAACAGGAAAAGAAACUAAGACGGGGCCUGUGGUUUUAUUUACUAAAUCUGUCUGUUCUGGGAGGUGCAGGUCACGGGUGCCAGCCCUUCUUCACCCACCUCAUCCCCAUCUUAAAGCACAGAGAAAGCUGGUCGAUGAGUCUCCUGACCAACAGGGGGCGCCUGCCCAAUUCUGAUGGUUUCCUGCCUAUAGCUCAUGGAUGCAAUUUGGAGGUGGCCACUGGGUGGCACCAUUAUGUCACAUAUGCCUACUGAGAAUCCUGUUGACUGCUGGACAGGGGACAAAUCUGGAAUCCAAAGCCCUCUUCUGGACUGAGUCUGCUAUGGGGCCUCUGCAUGCUAACAGCCAUGCUGCUGCUGAUCCACCCUGCCAGGUCCCAGACUGGCAGAAGUCAUUUUGCAGCAAGGAGAGACUAAGACAGCAGUGGGAUCUCAAGGAUCUGAGCUGAGUCUGAUGUCCUCGCUGUACAGAGUGUAGUGGGAACGAAAGGCUAAUCAAAAGCCAUGGUGCCUGAAAACCUUAAAGGACCAAAGUCCAGAGACUCAGGCUGGCGUUCACCUCCUGCCAUGUGCAUCCUGGGUAAGGCAGCCGUGUCCAUCCACCUGUUGAAGGAGCAUCUUCAGGAGGUAGUGAGCUCAUGACCCUCAGAGACCUCCAAGCAAGGUCCCAUCCGAUGUCCACUGGGAACACUGGGAGAAGCACUGAUGGGGCUGUGGUUGCUGGGUGCAGGGACACAGCAGGGGUCACUGAAACUUGCCCUAAGCUCUGAAGAGUGCUUACCCGAUGCUCAGAGAUGUCCCAAGGCAGUCUUCAGACACCCGAUGCCUGGGCCUCACUUGCAGGCACACGGGGUCCCUUGGAGGGAAAACCAGGGCAGUGUGAGUGAAAUCCGAGAACAAAGGUGCGUAUUUGCUUACAAGCGGAGAGAAUCACAGAAUUGACACAUUCCUCACAAUUGACAAAUAGCACGGAUAUUGGAGGGAGAAAACCCGGAAAAAAUAACAUGUGAUUUUUAUUAGCAGUCUGGCAGGUAAUAAAAAUGGGGCUUGCACUG